rnacentral:rRNA from 1 species
AUUCUGUGAGCAGGAAAACAGGGGACCUUCGGGCCUUGCGCUGAUUGAGCGGCCGAUAUCAGAUUAGCUAGUUGGUGAGGUAAAGGCUCACCAAGGCGACGAUCUGUAGCGGGUCUGAGAGGAUGAUCCGCCACACUGGAACUGAGACACGGUCCAGACUCCUACGGGAGGCAGCAGUGGGGAAUUUUGGACAAUGGGCGCAAGCCUGAUCCAGCCAUGCCGCGUGAGUGAAGAAGGCCUUCGGGUUGUAAAGCCCUUUCGGCCGGGAAGAAAUCGUAUAGGUUAAUACCCUGUGCGGAUGACGGUACCGGCAUAAGAAGCACCGGCUAACUACGUGCCAGCAGCCGCGGUAAUACGUAGGGUGCGAGCGUUAAUCGGAAUUACUGGGCGUAAAGCGUGCGCAGGCGGUUUUGUAAGACAGGCGUGAAAUCCCCGGGCUCAACCUGGGAACUGCGUUUGUGACUGCAAGGCUAGAGUAUGGCAGAGGGGGGUGGAAUUCCACGUGUAGCAGUGAAAUGCGUAGAGAUGUGGAGGAACACCGAUGGCGAAGGCAGCCCCCUGGGCCAAUACUGACGCUCAUGCACGAAAGCGUGGGUAGCAAACAGGAUUAGAUACCCUGGUAGUCCACGCCCUAAACGAUGUCAACUAGGUGUUGGGUGGGUAAAACCAUUUAGUACCGUAGCUAACGCGUGAAGUUGACCGCCUGGGGAGUACGGCCGCAAGGUUAAAACUCAAAGGAAUUGACGGGGACCCGCACAAGCGGUGGAUGAUGUGGAUUAAUUCGAUGCAACGCGAAAAACCUUACCUACCCUUGACAUGUCCAGAAGCCCUGAGAGAUUGGGGUGUGCCCGAAAGGGAGCUGGAACACAGGUGCCGCAUGGCUGUCGUCAGCUCGUGUCGUGAGAUGUUGGGUUAAGUCCCGCAACGAGCGCAACCCUUGUCGUUAAUUGCCAUCAUUUAGUUGGGCACUUUAACGAGACUGCCGGUGACAAACCGGAGGAAGGUGGGGAUGACGUCAAGUCCUCAUGGCCCUUAUGGGUAGGGCUUCACACGUCAUACAAUGGUCGGUACAGAGGGUUGCCAAGCCGCGAGGUGGAGCCAAUCCCAGAAAGCCGAUCGUAGUCCGGAUUGCAGGCUGCAACUCGCCUGCAUGAAGUCGGAAUCGCUAGUAAUCGCGGAUCAGCAUGUCGCGGUGAAUACGUUCCCGGGUCUUGUACACACCGCCCGUCACACCAUGGGAGCGGGUUCCGCCAGAAGUGGGUAGCCUAACCGCAAGGAGGGCGCUCACCACGGCGG